rnacentral:rRNA from 1 species
UGGGGAAUCUUCCGCAAUGGACGAAAGUCUGACGGAGCAACGCCGCGUGUAUGAUGAAGGUCUUCGGAUUGUAAAGUACUGUCAUUGGGGAAGAACGGUUUUCUUGAAAGAUUGAGAAGACAUGACGGUACCCAAGGAGGAAGCCCCGGCUAACUACGUGCCAGGCAGCCGCGGUAAUACGUAGGGGGCAAGCGUUGUCCGGGAAUUAUUGGGCGUAAAGGGCGCGUAGGCGGGCCUUUAAGUCCGGUGUGAAAGAUCAGGGCUCAACCCUGAGAGUGCAUCGGAAACUGGAGGCCUUGAGGACAGGGGAGGAAAGUGGAAUUCCACGUGUAGCGGUGAAAUGCGUAGAUAUGUGGAGGAACACCAGUGGCGAAGGCGACUUUCUGGACUGUAACU